rnacentral:rRNA from 1 species
GACAGAGGGGGCAAGCGUUGCUCGGAAUUACUGGGCGUAAAGGGUGCGUAGGCGGCGCGGUAAGUCGGCUGUGAAAUCUCGGAGCUUAACUCCGAAACUGCAUUCGAUACUGCCGUGCUUGAGGACUGGAGAGGAGACUGGAAUUCAUGGUGUAGCAGUGAAAUGCGUAGAGAUGUGGAGGAACACCGAUGGCGCAAGGCA